rnacentral:rRNA from 1 species
UACAGAGGUGGCAAGCGUUGUUCGGAAUUACUGGGCGUAAAGGGCGCGUAGGCGGUCUUUUAAGUCUCGUGUGAAAUCCCUCGGCUCAACUGAGGAACUGCACGGGAUACUGGAUGACUUGAGUUCGGGAGAGGGAAGCGGAAUUCCGGGUGUAGCGGUAAAAUGCGUAGAUAUCAGGAGGAACACCGGUGGCGAAGGCGGCUCUCUGGACGGUGACUGACGCUGAGACGCGAAAGCGUGGGGAGCAAACAGG